UGCCACAGUCAUAUCACCUUGCAGUUCAAGGCCAGUUACUCACCAAAGCUAAUAAGUGCUGAGACUGGUUAGUACCUGGAUGGGAGACCGCAUGGGAAAACUAGUUUACUGUUGGAA
ensembl:rRNA 5S_rRNA 5S ribosomal RNA